UUAUUUGAGAGUUUGAUCCUAGCUCAGGAUGAACGCUGGCGACGUGGAUAAGGCAUGCAAGUCACGGGGUCCGCCUUUGGCGGAAACCGGCAAACGGGUUAGUAACACGUAGAUACAUACCAUUGAGACAGGGAUAGCCUAGAGAAAUCUAGGAUAAUACCUGAUGGUUCCCUUACGGGUAAAGGAUUCGCAAGAAUUCGCUCGGUGAAUGGUCUGCGGCCUAUCAGCUUGUUGGUGGGGUAAUGGCCUACCAAGGCAAUGACGGGUAGGGGGCGUGAGAGCGCGACCCCCAACAUUGGGACUGAGACACUGCCCAAACACCUACGGGUGGCUGCAGUCGAGAAUAUUGGUCAAUGGGCGAAAGCCUGAACCAGCGACGUCGCGUGCUCGAAGAAGCUCUUCGGAGUGUAAAGAGCUUUUCUCAAGGAACAACCUUCGGGUGAGUGUACUUGAGGAAUAAGUGGGUCCUAACUCUGUGCCAGCAGGAGCGGUAAUACAGAGCCCACAAGCGUUAUCCGGAUUUAUUGGGCGUAAAGGGUCCGUAGACGGUCAGAAUAGUCUUUGGUUAAAUACCCAGAGCUUAACUUUGGGGAUGCCAAGGAUACUUUCUGACUAGAGGGCGUUAGAGGCUGAUGGAACGGUCGGUGUAGGGGUGAAAUCCGUUGAUAUCGACCGGAACACCGAAAGCGAAGGCAUUCAGCUGGGGCGACCCUGACGUUGAGGGACGAAAGCGUGGGGAUCAAAGCAGAUUAGAUACCUGCGUAGUCCACGCUGUAAACGAUGGACACUAGCUAUUUGAAGUGUCGACCCUUCAAGUGGCGAAGCUAACGCGUUAAGUGUCCCGCCUGGGAAGUACGAUGGCAACAUUAAAACUCAAAGGAAUAGACGGGGAUUUACACAAGCGGUGGAUCAUGUGGCUCAAUUCGACAACAAGCGAGGAACCUUACCAGGGCUUGACAGGCUAAUGAAAUCCUGCAGAAACGUAGGACUACCCACAAGGACAUUAGCCCAGGUGCUGCACGGCUGUUGUCAGCAUGUAUCUUGAGACGCACCCUUAAAUGGGGUAACAUGCGCAACCCUUACUCUGUGUUUUAUAUGUCACGGAGGACUGCCUGGGACAACCAGGAGGAAGGAGAGGACGACACCAAGUCAGCGUGGCCCUUUGAUGCCCUGGGCUGCACACAUGAUACAAUGGGGCCGACAAUGCGUUGCUAAGUCGUAAGACGGAGCUAAUCGCAACAAACGGUCUCUCAGUUCGGAUUGAGGUCUGAAACCCGACCUCAUGAAGCUGGAAUCGCUAGUAAUCGCAUAUCAGCCAUGGUGCGAUGAAUACGUUCCUAAAUCUUGUACUCACCGCCCGUCACAUUAGGGAAGCCGGUAAUAGCCGAAGUUCCAGUUUACUGGACCUAAGCUAAGAUCGGUGACAAGAAUGAAGUCGUAACAAGGCAUGGGUAGCGGAAGCUGUCCAUGGAUCACUACAUUU
rnacentral:rRNA from 1 species